UUUUUUUGGGGGGGGGGUCGUCUAUGGCAUUACAUUUUUAAAAUGUCUUUAAGUACUAUUUAAUGCAUAGUUUAAAACUCAAGUUUGACCAUAAGAAAUGAAAUAA
rnacentral:sRNA from 1 species